AUUGAACGCUGGCGGCAUGCUUUACACAUGCAAGUCGAACGGUAACAGGCCGCAAGGUGCUGACGAGUGGCGAACGGGUGAGUAAUGCAUCGGAACGUGCCCAGUCGUGGGGGAUAACUGCUCGAAAGAGCAGCUAAUACCGCAUACGAUCUAUGGAUGAAAGCGGGGGACCGUAAGGCCUCGCGCGAUUGGAGCGGCCGAUGUCAGAUUAGGUAGUUGGUGGGGUAAAGGCUCACCAAGCCAACGAUCUGUAGCUGGUCUGAGAGGACGACCAGCCACACGGGGACUGAGACACGGCCCAGACUCCUACGGGAGGCAGCAGUGGGGAAUUUUGGACAAUGGGCGCAAGCCUGAUCCAGCCAUGCCGCGUACAGGAUGAAGGCCUUCGGGUUGUAAACUGCUUUUGUACGGAACGAAAAGACUCUGGUUAAUACCUGGGGUCCAUGACGGUACCGUAAGAAUAAGCACCGGCUAACUACGUGCCAGCCGCCGCCGUAAGAC
rnacentral:rRNA from 1 species